AUCAUUUGGCAGCAUAUACACUAAAAUUGGUACAAUACCGAGAAAAUUAGCCCCUGUGCAAGGAUGACACACAAAUUUAUGAAACGUUCCAUAUUUUU
ensembl:snRNA U6 U6 spliceosomal RNA